rnacentral:rRNA from 1 species
GACGAACGCUGGCGGCGUGCUUAACACAUGCAAGUCGAACGGAAAGGCCCUGCUUGCAGGGUGCUCGAGUGGCGAACGGGUGAGUAACACGUGGGUGAUCUGCCCCUUACUUUGGGAUAAGCCUGGGAAACUGGGUCUAAUACUGGAUAGGACCAUGCUGUAGGUGGUGUGGUGGAAAGAUUUUUUCGGUAAGGGAUGAGCUCGCGGCCUAUCAGCUUGUUGGUGGGGUAAUGGCCUACCAAGGCGUCGACGGGUAGCCGGCCUGAGAGGGUGGACGGCCACAGUGGGACUGAGAUACGGCCCAGACUCCUACGGGAGGCAGCAGUGGGGAAUAUUGCACAAUGGGCGCAAGCCUGAUGCAGCGACGCCGCGUGGGGGAUGACGGCCUUCGGGUUGUAAACUCCUUGCAGCCAUGACGAAGCCGCUUUUGGGGUGACGGUAGUGGUAGAAGAAGCACCGGCUAACUACGUG